CCCCCGCGGAGGCGCCACCUCUACGUGGUGCGGGGGGAGGCAACUGCCCAAAAGGGCAGGCGAAGAGCGCC
rnacentral:ribozyme from 1 species